rnacentral:rRNA from 1 species
GAGUUUGAUCCUGGCCAGGACGAACGCUGGCGGCGUGCUUAACACAUGCAAGUCGAACGGUGAAAGUGGGAGCUUGCUCCUGCUGGAUCAGUGGCGAACGGGUGAGUAACACGUGAGCAAUCUGCCCCGAACUCUGGGAUAAGCGUUGGAAACGACGUCUAAUACCGGAUACGACGCGCGAAGGCAUCUUCUGCGCGUGGAAAGAAUUUCGGUUUGGGAUGAGCUCGCGGCCUAUCAGCUUGUUGGUGAGGUAACGGCUCACCAAGGCGACGACGGGUAGCCGGCCUGAGAGGGUGACCGGCCACACUGGGACUGAGACACGGCCCAGACUCCUACGGGAGGCAGCAGUGGGGAAUAUUGCACAAUGGGCGCAAGCCUGAUGCAGCAACGCCGCGUGAGGGACGACGGCCUUCGGGUUGUAAACCUCUUUUAGUAGGGAGGAAGCGAAAGUGACGGUACCUGCAGAAAAAGCACCGGCGGACUACGUGCCAGCAGCGCGGUAA